rnacentral:rRNA from 1 species
GUCCUCAAAUGGGGACAUGUGCACGCUCUGUUCACNCAUNNANUNNCACNUGUGCACCCUCUGUAGUUCCAUGGUCAGGGGGGCCUGUCCCCUCCUGCUAUGGUCCUGCGUCUUUACACACACACUGUAACAAAGUCUCAUGGAAUGCAUGCCGCGUUUAACGCAAUMCAAUACAACUUUCAGCAACGGAUCUCUUGGCUCUCGCAUCGAUGAAGAACGCAGCGAAAUGCGAUAAGUAAUGUGAAUUGCAGAAUUCAGUGAAUCAUCGAAUCUUUGAACGCACCUUGCGCCCUUUGGCCAUUCCGAAGGGCAUGCCUGUUUGAGUAUCAUGAACACCUCAACUCUUCAUGGUUUUCCAUGAUGAGCUUGGACUCUGGGGGUCUUGCUGGCCUGUGGUCAGCUCCUCUCAAAUGAAUCAGCUUGCCGGUGUUUGGUGGGCAUCACAGGUGUGAUAACUAUCUACGCUUGUGGUUUUCCACCAGGGUAACCUUCAGCAGUGGAGGUUCACUGGAGCUCACAAAUGUCUCUCCUCAGUGGGGACAGCCCUUUGAAUGUUUGAUCUCAAAUCAGGUAGGACUACCCGCUGAACUUAAGCAUAUCAAUAAGCGGAGGAAAAGAANCUAACNAGGAUUCCCCUAGUAACUGCGAGUGAAGCGGGAAGAGCUCAAAUUUAAAAUCUGGCGUGCCUCUGGUCGUCCNAGUUGUAGUCUGGAGAAGCGUUU